AGCGAACGCUGGCGGCAGGCCUAACACAUGCAAGUCGAACGAACCCUUCGGGGUUAGUGGCGGACGGGUGCGUAACACGUGGGAACGUGCCUUUAGGUUCGGAAUAACUCAGGGAAACUUGUGCUAAUACCGAGUGUGCCCUUCGGGGGAAAGAUUUGUCGCCUUUAGAGCGGCCCGCGUCUGAUUAGCUAGGUGGUGAGGUAAUGGCUCACCAAGGCUACGAUCAGUAGCUGGUCUGAGAGGAUGACCAGCCACAUUGGGACUGAGACACGGCCCAAACUCCUACGGGAGGCAGCAGUGGGGAAUCUUGCGCAAUGGGCGAAAGCCUGACGCAGCCAUGCCGCGUGGAUGAUGAAGGUCUUAGGAUUGUAAAAUCCUUUCACCGGUGAAGAUAAUGACUGUAGCCGGAGAAGAAGCCCCGGCUAACUUCGUGCCAGCCGCCGCAGUAAAAC
rnacentral:rRNA from 1 species